rnacentral:lncRNA from 1 species
AAAGACAAGGAAACUGUCUCUCUCAUUCCUGGAAGAGGAUUCUUUAACUACAUCAUCAACAAUCAUGGACUGCCCCAACCAAAGAAUGUGUUUUUGCCAAUACCAACAAAGGACGUAUUGUACAAGCCUAGUUUGUAUCAUCAGUUGUUCCAAGAUAUCUCUCUAUAUCUUUCUAGAAACAAACUUAAAAACCUAGAUUAACCACCAAAUGGAAGAGAAGCAAAGUCAGGAGAGUCGAGAGAUACUUGUUCUCCAACAAUUUCUUCAUCACAACUCACAAGGCAACAAAGUUAACUAAAUACUUUAACCAAACAUUGUAUUGGAGGUAACUAUCUAUAUUUCUUUUGAGUCUAGUUUAUUCUACUUAUCUUUUUAUCUUUUUAGGAUCAAAUGAAGAGAUAUGAAGGCAACAAACAAACAAAUGAAAACCGAUAUACAAAGAUGAUCAAAAGAUGGAGUUGUCACUAGUCGAGCACUAGAUCGGCCACUUCACUUUCUUUGCCAAGGGAUUGACAUUCCUCUGUUUAAGCGACUUUCAAGUCUUUAACACACCAUCCACCUUCCCAGUUUUUUUUUUAUUACUUAAAUCUGAUUGUUUGGAGAGGGGCCCAUGGUAUGGUUUCUAAUUGGGCUUAGGAAAAAGGAACCUGUUGCUAAGUGGAAAUUGAAAUCAGGUUUGAGGCUUAUAUAUACAAAAGUGUUUGGGGUUUAUAUAAUAUAAAGGAGAAUUAGUUUUAUAAUGUUAAUUGAAUUAGCUAUUGUCCCCUUAAUUACCCUUUUAAAUCAGUUAUGAAAAUAAUAAUUAAAAUUAAAUUUGAAACUAUUGUUUAGAAAAAUCUAAAAUUCUAAAACUGGAAAUAAAAAUAUUUCCGGAUAUCAUUU